rnacentral:rRNA from 1 species
UGAUGGCGAGUGGCGAACGGGUGAGUAAUGCAUCGGAACGUGCCCAAUCGUGGGGGAUAACGCAGCGAAAGCUGUGCUAAUACCGCAUACGAUCUACGGAUGAAAGCGGGGGACCUUCGGGCCUCGCGCGAUUGGAGCGGCCGAUGUUAGAUUAGGUAGUUGGUGGGGUAAAGGCUCACCAAGCCGACGAUCUAUAGCUGGUCUGAGAGGACGACCAGCCACACUGGAACUGAGACACGGUCCAGACUCCUACGGGAGGCAGCAGUGGGGAAUUUUGGACAAUGGGCGCAAGCCUGAUCCAGCAAUACCGCGUGCAGGAAGAAGGCCUUCGGGUUGUAAACUGCUUUUGUACGGAACGAAAAGGCUCUUUUUAAUAAAGAGGGCUCAUGACGGUACCGUAAGAAUAAGCACCGGCUAACUACGUGCCAGCAGCCGCGGUAAUACGUAGGGUGCGAGCGUUAAUCGGAAUUACUGGGCGUAAAGCGUGCGCAGGCGGUUUUGUAAGACAGACGUGAAAUCCCCGGGCUCAACCUGGGAAUUGCGUUUGUGACUGCAAGGCUAGAGUACGGUAGAGGGGGGUAGAAUUCCGCGUGUAGCAGUGAAAUGCGUAGAUAUGCGGAGGAACACCGAUGGCGAAGGCAGCCCCCUGGACCUGUACUGACGCUCAUGCACGAAAGCGUGGGGAGCAAACAGGAUUAGAUACCCUGGUAGUCCACGCCCUAAACGAUGUCAACUGGUUGUUGGGAAUUUACUUUCUCAGUAACGAAGCUAACGC